GAUGAACGCUGGCGGCGUGCCUAAUACAUGCAAGUCGAGCGAAUGGAUUAAGAGCUUGCUCUUAUGAAGUUAGCGGCGGACGGGUGAGUAACACGUGGGUAACCUGCCCAUAAGGCUGGGAUAACUCCGGGAAACCGGGGCUAAUACCGGAUAACAUUUUGAACCGCAUGGUUCGAAAUUGAAAGGCGGCUUCGGCUGUCACUUAUGGAUGGACCGGGGUGGCAUUAGCCAGUUGGUGAGGUAAAGGCUCACCAAGGCAACGAUGCGUAGCCGACCUGAGAGGGUGAUCGGCCACACUGGGACUGAGACACGGCCCAGACUCCUACGGGAGGCAGCAGUAGGGAAUCUUCCGCAAUGGACGAAGGUCUGACGGAGCAACGCCGCGUGAGUGAUGAAGGCUUUCGGGUCGUAAAACUCUGUUGUUAAGGAAGAACGCCAGGUAGAGUAACUGCUACCUGUGUGACGGUACUUAACCAGAAAGCCACGGCUAACUACGUGCCAGCCGCCGCAGUAA
rnacentral:rRNA from 1 species